GCGAGAGUAGCUCAGUUGGUAGAGCUCCACGUUGCCAACGUGGUUGUCGCCGGUUCGAGUCCGGUCUCUCGCU
rnacentral:tRNA from 2 species